GUCCCCGCACAAGCAGCGGAGCAUGUGGUUUAAUUCGAUGCAACGCGAAAAACCUUACCAAGAUUUGACAUCGCCUGACCGGUGUAGAGAUACACUUUUCCCUUCGGGGACAGGUAGACAGGUGGUGCAUGGUUGUCGUCAGCUCGUGUCGUGAGAUGUUGGGUUAAGUCCCGCAACGAGCGCAACCCUUAUGAAUAGUUGCCAAUAUUAAGUUAGGAACUCUAUUCAGACUGCCAUAGAUAAUAUGGAGGAAGGUGGGGAUGACGUCAAAUCAUCAUGCCCCUUACAUCUUGGGCUACACACGUGCUACAAUGGUCGCUACAAAGAGACGCUAGCCGGUAACGGUACGCCAAUCUCAAAAAAGCGGUCUCAGUUCGGAUUGUGGGCUGCAACUCGCCCACAUGAAGUCGGAGUUGCUAGUAAUCCCGAAUCAGCAUGUCGGGGUGAAUGCGUUCCCGGGGAUU
rnacentral:rRNA from 1 species